CAUACAGCGAGCAACGCUGUAACACAAGCAGACAACGCCUGACGGGAGCCAGUUUGCAUUCUUCUCACUGCGAAGCAGAUCUGUGUACAUUAGAAAUGAGGAAUCAUCUGAUUGAGUGGCCAGAGAGCAACGCACUCCCAUCCUCGC